AUUGAACGCUGGCGGCAGGCCUAACACAUGCAAGUCGAACGGUAACAGGAAGAAGCUUGCUUCUUUGCUGACGAGUGGCGGACGGGUGAGUAAUGUCUGGGAAACUGCCUGAUGGAGGGGGAUAACUACUGGAAACGGUAGCUAAUACCGCAUAACGUCGCAAGACCAAAGAGGGGGACCUUCGGGCCUCUUGCCAUCGGAUGUGCCCAGAUGGGAUUAGCUUGUUGGUGGGGUAACGGCUCACCAAGGCGACGAUCCCUAGCUGGUCUGAGAGGAUGACCAGCCACACUGGAACUGAGACACGGUCCAGACUCCUACGGGAGGCAGCAGUGGGGAAUAUUGCACAAUGGGCGCAAGCCUGAUGCAGCCAUGCCGCGUGUAUGAAGAAGGCCUUCGGGUUGUAAAGUACUUUCAGCGGGGAGGAAGGGAGUAAAGUUAAUACCUUUACUCAUUGACGUUACCCGCAGAAGAAGCACCGGCUAACUCCGUGCCAGCCGCCGCGGUAACAC
rnacentral:rRNA from 1 species